CCUACGGGUGGCAGCAGUCGAGAAUCAUUCACAAUGGGGGAAACCCUGAUGGUGCGACGCCGCGUGGGGGAAUGAAGGUCUUCGGAUUGUAAACCCCUGUCAUGUGGGAGCAAAUUAAAAAGAUAGUACCACAAGAGGAAGAGACGGCUAACGCUGUGCCAGCAGCCGCGGUAAUCCAGAGGUCUCAAGCGUUGUUCGGAAUCACUGGGCGUAACGCGUGCGUAGGCUGUUUCGUAAGUCGUGUGUGAAAGGCGCGGGCUCAACCCGCGGACGGCACAUGAUACUGCGAGACUAGAGUAAAGGAGAGGGAACCGGAAUUCGCGGUGUAGCAGUGAAAUGCGUAGAUA
rnacentral:rRNA from 1 species